rnacentral:lncRNA from 1 species
UUUUCUUUAACCACAACGAAUUCAUUGAUGACGAAAUCUAUUGGUUUGAUAUUGAUUUAAGUGAUUAAUGCUUACAGAUCUAAUAAAGUUCUUUCUACACUUCUUUUCUGCAAAGUUUUUACUCAUCUUUAUAAAGGCAGUUCCUCUAAAUAUGGAUUUACACAUGCUCAUACUACGGAAAGUCAUUGACGACCUUAUCACAAAGGAUACACUUUAUGAAGAUCUCUCUGAAUAUCUGUCAUAGUAUGCUGAUCAAAUUCCUGAUUAUUAAUGCAGUAUGGAUCCUCCUUGGCAACUCGCCAAAGGAAGAGGACGAGGUGGAAGAAAUCAAAAAUCUUCAUAUCAAGGAGGACGGACAAACCCUUCAUAUUUUGAUCAAAGAAAUUUUGCAUAUAGCUCUGCGAGUUCAAAUUUCCCUAUAUUACAGCAAGGAAAUAGAACUUUAAUUAAUUCCAAAAUUCCUCAAGAGGAAUAUUCAUUAUCCAAAACUCUGAAU